CAGACCUGGAGACUUCAACAUUGGAACAGUCUACAGGAUUGCCUACUGGAGAACACACUCAGGAACUGUCCUCUGUCCCAGCGGGAGACACAUCCUCAGAACCUCUGUCGGACACAACUCAGGAACGCCAGGGAUCGGUGACCGGACAGCCUGGUCCAGGGUUGACCACCAGCCCAGCAGGGUCUUUGAGCUCAGACUUGGAGGCUUCAACAUUGGAACAGUCUACAGGAUUGUCUACUGGAGAACACACACAGGAACUGUCCUCUGUCCCAGCAGGAGACACAUCCUCAGACCUGGAGACUUCAACAUUGGAACAGUCUACAGGAUUGUCUACUGGAGAACACACCCAGGAACUGUCCUCUGACCCAGCGGGAGACACAUCCUCAGAUUCUCAGUUGGACACAACUCGGGAACCCCAGGUAUCACAAACCGGAAAACAUGGACCUGGUUUCACCACCUCCCUAGCGAGGUCUGCGAGCUCAGGUACAGAUUCCCA